rnacentral:rRNA from 1 species
AACGAACGCUGGCGGCAGGCUUAACACAUGCAAGUCGAACGCCCCGCAAGGGGAGUGGCGCACGGGUGAGUAACGCGUGGAUAUCUGCCUUUUGGUUCGGAAUAACCCCGGGAAACUGGGGCUAAUACCGGAUGGUUCCUACGGGAUAAAGAUUUAUCGCCAAAAGAUGAGUCCGCGUACGAUUAGCUAGUUGGUGAGGUAAUGGCUCACCAAGGCGACGAUCGUUAGCUGGUCCGAGAGGACGAUCAGCCACACUGGGACUGAGACACGGCCCAGACUCCUACGGGAGGCAGCAGUGGGGAAUAUUGGACAAUGGGGGCAACCCUGAUCCAGCCAUGCCGCGUGAGUGAUGAAGGCCUUCGGGUUGUAAAGCUCUUUUGGCGGGGACGAUGAUGACGGUACCCGCAGAAUAAGCCCCGGCUAACUUCGUG